AUUGAACGCUGGCGGCAUGCCUUACACAUGCAAGUCGAACGGCAGCGGGGGAGAAGCUUGCUUUUCCUGCCGGCGAGUGGCGAACGGGUGAGUAAUACAUCGGAACGUGCCCUGUAGUGGGGGAUAACUAGUCGAAAGAUUAGCUAAUACCGCAUACGACCUGAGGGUGAAAGUGGGGGACCGCAAGGCCUCAUGCUAUAGGAGCGGCCGAUGUCUGAUUAGCUAGUUGGUGGGGUAAAGGCCUACCAAGGCGACGAUCAGUAGCUGGUCUGGGAGGACGAUCAGCCACACUGGGACUGGGACACGGCCCAGACUCCUACGGGAGGCAGCAGUGGGGAAUUUUGGACAAUGGGCGAAAGCCUGAUCCAGCAAUGCCGCGUGUGUGAAGAAGGCCUUCGGGUUGUAAAGCACUUUUGUCCGGAAAGAAAUGGCUCUGGUUAAUACCUGGGGUCGAUGGCGGUACCGGAAGAAUAAGGACCGGCUAACUACGUGCCAGCAGCCGCCGUAA
rnacentral:rRNA from 1 species